rnacentral:rRNA from 1 species
CUACGGGGUGCACCAGCUGAGGAAAUUUUACAAUGCUCGAAAGAGUGAUAGAAUAAACCAGAGUGUUUCUCUAUGAGAAACUUUUGUUUGCUGUAAAAAGGCAGACGAAUAAGGACUGGGCAAGACCGGUGCCAGCCGCCGCGGUAAUACCGGCGGUCCAAGUCGCAUCCACAUUUAUUGGGUCUAAAACAUUCGUAGCUUGUUUUGUAAGUCUCUUGUGAAAUCCCAUGUCUCAAACAUGGGGCGUGCAAGAGAUACUGCAUUGCUUUGAGACCGGAAGACGUAAGGAGUAUGAUUGAGGUAGCGGUAAAAUGCGUUAAUCUUGAUCAGACUAACAAUGGCGAAGGCACCUUACGAGUACGGAUCUGACAGUGAGGGAUGAAGGCUAGGGUCGCGAAAGGGAUUAGAUACCCGUGUAGUC